UACGUAGGGGGCUAGCGUUGUCCGGAUUUAUUGGGCGUAAAGAGCGUGUAGGCGGCCAUGCAGGUCCGUUGUGAAAACUCGAGGCUCAACCUCGAGACGUCGAUGGAAACCGCAUGGCUAGAGUCCGGAAGAGGAGAGUGGAAUUCCUGGUGUAGCGGUGAAAUGCGCAGAUAUCAGGAAGAACACCCGUGGCGAAGGCGGCUCUCUGGGACGGUACUGACGCUGAGACGCGAAAGCGUGGGGAGCGAACAGG
rnacentral:rRNA from 1 species